rnacentral:rRNA from 1 species
UACGUAGGCAGCAAGCGUUGUUCGGAGUUACUGGGCGUAAAGGGUGUGUAGGCGGUUGUUUAAGUUUGGUGUGAAAUCUCCCGGCUCAACUGGGAGGUGCGCCGAAUACUGAAUGACUAGAGUGCGGGAGAGGAAAGUGGAAUUCCUGGUGUAGCGGUGAAAUGCGUAGAUAUCAGGAGGAACACCGGUGGUGUAGACGGCUUCUGGACCGUAACUGACGCUGAGACACGAAAGCGUGGGGAGUCAAACAG